rnacentral:lncRNA from 1 species
UCCUUAUAAUGUUUUUAGGACAUGUGUAUGUUGGUCCCUAAAUAAAUACCUGAUCUUUUCUUGUCAUUUUUAAAAAUAUUAUUCCAACAUAGAUAAUUAAAUGCAGAAAGAAAAAACAGAACUCAUAGUUAUACCUUGGUUUCAUAUAUAUAAUUUAAAUUUAUAAUUAAUUACAAGAUAUAUUAACAUCUCACAAGUAACAAGGUAUAGCCAUGAUACAUACUUCACAGUACUGUUCAUACAAUCCUUGAGCAAAAAACAAAUAUUUGCCUAACUAUCUUAACAAAAUUAUCACCAAUUUGCGGAAUUGUAUGAAGCUUUCAAAACUUGCAUCUUGAUUGUAAACUCAAGUCUUCACACCUGUAGAAAGUAUAAAAUAGAUUCUCAUUAGAGAAACUAUCAUGAUAAGUUGGCGAAAUAGGUUAAAAAGAUUUUCUGUCAAAAUAAUUUAAAUCUAACAGAGAUUUAACAUCCCAAUUGAAAAAAAGUUCAAACUCAUUAAGUGCAAGCAUAUACAAGAACCAUACAUAUGUGUGUAUGCACGCAUUAGUACAAAUCAUUUCCGUAAUCAAAACUAAAUAGAUUCUUAACAGAUUUUGUUUUGAGAAAACACCAUACUCAACUUUUAAGCCCACAAUUUAGCUAGUUUACCAUCUCUUGUAUUCUAUUUGCAGAAGAUACUUAGGUGAAUGUAAUACUAGCCAAUAUUACACAGUUUGAGACUAUACAUCUGUAACGUACAACUGAAAUGAAUAACACUAGUAUAAUUAAUAAUACAUCUGAUAAUGAUCCUAAGUUUGUACAACUGUUAUAAUUAAAAUUACUUAGCACAUUGAUUCAUUUAACUGUUGCAUGUACAAGAAUCAUAAGAAAUGAAGCAGCAGCUGAGAGAAUUUCUGAGAACAAUAUAUCCAAAGUCAAACUCUGUUUAUUCACACAAAGCACUCUAUUUAUGAUCAGUAAUAGAUUUAAAGAUACUUUCAAGUGAAGGUAUCAUACCGUGACCAGCAAAUCUAACAAAUGUAGUACGAUCCAACCAUGUAAUAGUGGAAGGUAUUGGUAUUCCUUAACGAGCGAAUAUAGUAGAAUCUGAUUACUACCUCUUCUUUCUUCUAUUCUCCCUCUAUCCAAUAACUGUUACAAUAUAAAGAUUGUUCUGAGAAUUGUAAAAAUAAAUUUUAGGAAAAAAAAAAAGAACUUGUUCACGCUAUAAAGAGAAUAUAAUUUCUAAGGAGGCCUACACAAACAAGCAAGUCUACUUACAUAGUCAUACUUGAGUCGUUGCAAUAAUUACUUGAUAAAAUCUUCAUUAGAAGUUAUUGUUUCUUUUUUGUAUAUGUAAUUGGGCUUCACUACUAACUUAAGUCUGCACAUUUCUGUAAGAGAACAAUGCAGAUUUUAUGCAAAAAUCGCUAAAUGUCAGGUUCAUUAAUACUAGAUACUUAUAACUCCUUUCACUUUGUGUUUAACCUGUUAUUAAACAUUGAGAAUAAGUUGAAGAUAUAAAUACCAUGCCCAGCUUGCUGAAGGAAGAUGGCGGAGAUACUCAAGAAGCUCAAAGCUUUAUUAAUACAAUUGCAAUUACUAGUCAAGUAGAGAAAUGGACAAAUUGAUUCCUAGCUUCCAAUAGUCACAAAGAAGACUAUGAGCCGAUGACUAUUCUGAAGGUAAUAUUUGAUAGCCUCUCUUAGUUUUAGACCAUCUUAAUCAAUAUCAUAAACAAGUUUAACUUUCAUACUUCAUCCUCAACUAAUAGAAAACAAACAUUUGUUUUAUCUUGUUAACAAACAUUUGUUUUAUCUUGUUCGUCCCAUUUCUUUUGUUUCUUUUACUUCUCUAAUAACAAGAAAUAAAUAUUUCUUUUCACAAAAAGGUCCAGAUAGCAUAGCAUAGCAUAACCUAUUAUUAAAUAAAUCCGAAUUAAGUUAAACACAAACAAUUGAAAAGGUAAUUAUUCAAUGAUAUUUCUAUUGAUAUAUACAUAAACAUAUAUACUAGUUUACGAAGAAGGGUAAAUGAAUUCACCUUAUAGAACAUAGAGAUCCAUGCUUUUCAACUUAGAGAUAUCAUCAAAAAUAUUAAAAUUAGGAUGAUGAAUCACCAAGGAACUGAACAUCAAAACAUACAGAAUAUUUCACAUUCACUUUACUAAUUAGAUAACAUCAUGUUUUACGAUCCAUAGCAUGUCCUCUCAAAACCUUAAAGAUAAUAGUAUUUCAUAGCAAAAUUAACAAUGUUAACCAACCUCAAUCUAUCAAGAAUAAAUCUCAACAAAAUACAAAGAUACCCUCCAACAUGGUUACAGAAUGAAGGUUCACAUAAUGGAGGCAAUGUAGGGCACGCCUCAACCAAGUGACAAGCUAGUCCAGAAUUUUACUUCUCCAAGCCUCAAAGAUUUUUUCCAGAAAAAAGAAAGGUAUUUGCUUCCAGCCUCAAAGUUUGUCUACAUAUUGCUGCAAUCCUAAACUUACAAGUUCAUUAUUUUUUAUUACAAACAAAUUUAACCCUGAAUAAGUCGACAAAGCUAAGGGCCUUUAGUGAACCAACUUAUUGAUGUAUAGAUGCACUACACAAGCUCUAAUUUUUUUGAGUAAUGAUACAAUUAACAAAUUCUAACGUUUUGCUCAUACAAUAGAAAGUAAUGUCCCAUAAUCAUGAUGUUUAUAAUCUGUGAAGUGCAACUCUUCUCAAAUUCUAGAUAGAGAGAUCAGGCAAAUGAAUUAAAGCCUCGAUUUAGGAAAAGAAACAAAAAUACAAAACAAUCCCAAAACCAAAAUAAAUAAUCGAACCGAAGAACAACUGAAUAAAAUUGAAACUUUUAUGACCAACCUAUCUGUAAAAUAAACGGAAUAAACUGGAAACUUAGUUAAAAUGUAGGUUGAGUGAGUUAUCAAAGAGAAAAAGCUUCAUAAUUUUCACAACAACUAAGCAUAGACUACAACAAUCGGAAAAGAUUGAAAUAUGAAAAAAAUGGUGAUAGAAAUUGAGGAACUUACCGAAAAAGUCUAGCAUCUUUAGUUUUAACCAAGGACCAAGCUUCCAAACGAUAAGGGAAAACUCAAACUUGAAGAGUUGCGGUAGAAUUUUAGAGUGUUUCAAAGUUUCUAGGGUUUAAGAUCUGUAGAAAAGGGAUUUUUAGGUCUUAGCGUUUAGUGUUUUUAUUUAUUUGUUUC